rnacentral:RNase_P_RNA from 1 species
GAAGCAGGCUAGACAAUCGCUGGCUUUGGUGUGAGCCAAAGCGGGAGGAAGGUCCGGACUCCAUAGAGCAGGGUGACGGCUAACGGCCGUACGUUGAAAGCCGCAAGGUAUAAGACGAGGAAUAGGGCCACAGAGACGAGCGUAUUUAGUUACGGUGAAACGCGGUAACCUCCACCCGGAGCAAUUUCAAAUAGGCACGCGUUGAGGCGGCUCGCGGAGCGUGCGGGUAGAAAGCUUGAGCCUGGGAGUAAUCCCCGGCCUAGAGGAAUGAUUGUCAUAGCACAAGGCAGCAAUGCCAAGUGCCGUAACAGAAUCCGGCCUAUCGGCCUGCUUCAUUU